rnacentral:rRNA from 1 species
AGAGUUUGAUCAUGGCUCAGGAUGAACGCUAGCGGGAGGCCUAACACAUGCAAGCCGAGCGGUAUUUCUUCUUCGGAAGAGAGAGAGCGGCGUACGGGUGCGGAACACGUGUGCAACCUGCCUUUAUCUGGGGGAUAGCCUUUUCGAAAAGGGAAAGAUUAAUACCCCAUAAUAUAUUUGAUGGCAUCAUUAGAUAUUGAAAACUCCGGUGGAUAGAGAUGGGCACGCGCAAGAUUAGAUAGUUGGUGGGUAACGGCCCACCAAGUCGAUGAUCUUUAGGGGCCUGAGAGGGUGAUCCCCCACACUGGUACUGAGACACGGACCAGACUCCUACGGGAGGCAGCAGUGAGGAAUAUUGGACAAUGGGUGAGAGCCUGAUCCAGCCAUCCCGCGUGAAGGAAUAAGGUCCUAUGGAUUGUAAACUUCUUUUCUACAGGGAUAAACCUAUUUACGUGUAAAUAGCUGAAGGUACUGUAGGAAUAAGCACCGGCUAACUCCGUG